rnacentral:rRNA from 1 species
AUUGAACGCUGGCGGCAGGCCUAACACAUGCAAGUCGAGCGAGCGGCGGACGGGUGAGUAAUGUCUGGGAAACUGCCUGAUGGUUGGGGAUAACUACUGGAAACGGUAGCUAAUACCGCAUACCAUCAGAUGUGCCCAGAUGGGAUUAGAUAGUAGGUGGGGUAACGGCUCGCCCAGGCGACGCUCCCUAGCUGGUCUGAGAGGAUGACCAGGCACACUGGAACUGAGACACGGACCAGACGCCUACGGGAGUCAGCAGUGGGGAAUAUGGGACAAUGGGCGAAAGCCUGAGGGAGCCAUGCCGCGUGUGUGAAGAAGGCCUGCGGGUUGUAAAGCACUUUCAGCGGGGAGGCGGUACCCGCAGAAGAAGCACCGGCUAACUCCGUGCCAGCAGCCGCGGUAAUAC